GUCUGCAUAGUAUAGUGGUUUGAGUGUUGGACAGAAACUCUGGAGGCUGGAGUUCGAUUCUCAGCUUGGUCA